AUUUAAAUAGUGUAAUUAUAAACAUGUAACAUUUUCAUUGUUAAGAUCCUUUUGGUUUAAAUU
rnacentral:tRNA from 1 species